GGUCUCAUGGUGUAACGGUUAGCACUCUGGACUCUGAAUCCAGUGAUCCGAAUUCAAAAUUCAGUAAAACCU
rnacentral:tRNA from 1 species